GCAGGGAGUGCGCAUGCGGCCGAGUGCGGGACUGGGGCUCCUGGCUGUGGGUGUGGUACCGAGGCUUCAGCGGGUGCCGCCCGCCUAGAGGGAGUGGAGCGGUGAGCACGUCAGGGGUGGGGGGCGCAGGUCAAGCUUUCACCAGUUUUUAAUUCUUUGAUGGGGUAAAUUUGAGCAAUUUUCUCGACUUGUCGACAUUCGUUAUUAACUGAGCAGGAAUCAGGAGAGGAACCCGGUCCUCUCCACACAGCCCAGCAGAGAGCCUACGACUAGAUUUGCAUCUUUACGUCCUGCGCGGAGGCUGCUACACACAUGCAGAAGUCAUGCUGGUGGCCUGGACAGUGAAGGGAGAGAAGUGGAUUUGGGAGACAUUUAGGAGGAACAGUAAGAGGACCUUGUGCAUGAAUAAUUUGUUUCCACACUACAGAGUGGGUAAUAAGCAGAUUAGUAAAAACAAUUCUGCUUCACUUCAAUAACAGCCUCCUCCAACUCAUUUUUUCUCAACAAACUUAUUUUUCCAGCAGAAGAAUCCCAGACUUCUUAGAGAACCCAGUGACUUUUUGCACCUUAAAUCUGUGAAAUCCUCAUGUUUUCUUCUGCCGUAUCCAUAGUUCAAACAAAGAUGAGGCAAAGCUAGAUGCAUUCCUGAAGGAACCCAAGAAAUUCCUCUCUUUAUUUCUCUGGAAUGAAAUGAAUUCUCUAGACCACCAGUUCUAACCUUCAAAAACCAAACCUGUUUGUGAGAUCUCCUUCAAAUACUACUGUAGACCCCAGUGUUUAUUCAUUAAAUUUUUAAAAUAUUUGUUUUAUUUGGAAUCCAUGUAUUUGUAAUUUUAGUGUUUGUAUUAAUAUAAGGGAGAAAUGUUUAAAUCUGUCUAUGCCAUAUGUGCCUCUGGCUUAUUGCCCAAUUAAUUGUAGACUCAGGCUAAACUUUGGUUUCUGUCUUUAAUUUUUGUCAGAAGAAAUAUAACUGAUCUCAAAACA
ensembl:lncRNA RPL23AP7 ribosomal protein L23a pseudogene 7